rnacentral:RNase_P_RNA from 1 species
UGGGCUAGACGAUCGCGCGUACGCGGUUCCGCAAGGGGCACGUCGUCCGUGAGGAAAGUCCGGGCUCCAGAGGGCAGGAUGCUGGCUAACGGCCAGGCGGGGUGACCCGACGGAUUAGUGCCGCAGAAAAGAAGACUCCCACCUGCGCCUUGUGCGUAAAGGGAAAAGCUGAAACGGUGGUGUAAGAGACCACCAGCGUCACGGUAACGUGACGGCUUGGUAAACCCCAUCCGGAGCAAACGCGAAUAGGAACGCUAUGGGUCGGCCCGGCUCGCGUUCGGGUUGCGUGCGACUGCUGCACCGUACGCUUUGGCGUGCGGGCAAAGAUAAAUGAUCGUCCACGACAGAACCCGGCUUAUCGGCCCACUCGG